GCAGGCCUAACACAUGCAAGUCGAGCGGUAGCACAGAGAGCUUGCUCUCGGGUGACGAGCGGCGGACGGGUGAGUAAUGUCUGGGAAACUGCCUGAUGGAGGGGGAUAACUACUGGAAACGGUAGCUAAUACCGCAUAACGUCGCAAGACCAAAGUGGGGGACCUUCGGGCCUCAUGCCAUCAGAUGUGCCCAGAUGGGAUUAGCUAGUAGGUGGGGUAACGGCUCACCUAGGCGACGAGCUGGUCUGAGAGGGUGACCGGCCACACUGGGACUGAGACACGGUCCAGACUCCUACGGGAGGCAGCAGUGGGGAAUAUUGCACAAUGGGCGCAAGCCUGAUGCAGCCAUGCCGCGUGUGUGAAGAAGGCCUUCGGGUUGUAAAGCACUUUCAGCGAGGAGGAAGGCUACUUUAGGUUAAUAACCUGGCGAUUGACGUUACCCGCAGAAGAAGCACCGGCUAACUCCGUGCCAGCAGCCGCGGUAAUACGGAGGGUGCAAGCGUUAAUCGGAAUUACUGGGCGUAAAGCGUGCGCAGGCGGUCUGUCAAGUCGGAUGUGAAAUCCCCGAGCUUAACUGGGAACUGCAUUCGAUAACUGGCAGGCUAGAGUCUUGUAGAGGGGGUAGAAUUCCCAGGUGUAGCGGUGAAAUGCGUAGAGAUCUGGAGGAAUACCGGUGGCGAAAGGCGGCCAUCUGGACAAAGACUGACGCUCUGAGGUGCGAACAGCGUGGGGAGAGCAAACAGGAUUAGAUACCCUGGUAGUCCACGCCGUAAACGAUGUCGAUUUGGAGGUUGUGCCCUUGAGGCGUUAGCUUCCGGAGCUAACGCGUUAAAUCGACCGCCUGGGGAGUACGGCCGCAAGGUUAAAACUCAAAUGAAUUGACGGGGGCCCGCACAAGCGGUGGAGCAUGUGGUUUUAAUUCGAUGCAACGCGAAGAACCUUACCUGGUCUUGACAUCCACAGAAACUUUCCAGAGAUGGAUUGGUGCCUUCGGGAACUGUAGAUACAGGUGCUGCAUGGCUGUCGUCAGCUCGUGUGUGAGAUGUUGGGUUAAGUCCCGCAACGAGCGCAACCCUUAUCCUUUGUUGCCAGCAUUCGGAUGGGAACUCAAAGGAGAUACUGCCAGUGACAAACUGGAGGAAGGUGGGGACGACGUCAAGUCAUCAUGGCCCUUACGACCAGGGCUACACACGUGCUACAAUGUCAUAUAAACAAAAAGUUGCUACACUCGCGAGAUGUGAGCGGAUCUCAAAAAGCCGAUCGUAGUCCGGAUUGGAGUCUGCAACUCGACUCCAUGAAGUCGGAAUCGCUAGUAAUCGCGGAUCAGAAUGCUACGGUGAAUACGUUCCCGGGCCUUGUACACACCGCCCGUCACACCAUGGGAGUUUGUUGCACCAGAAGUAGCUAGCCUAACUGCAAAGGAGGGCGCUUACCACUUUGUGGCCGAUGACUGGGGUGAAGUCGUAACAAGGUAGCCGUAGGGGAACCUGCGGCUGGAUCACCUCCUUACCUUAAAGAA
rnacentral:rRNA from 1 species